AACGAACGCUGGCGGCAGGCUUAACACAUGCAAGUCGAGCGCCCCGCAAGGGGAGCGGCAGACGGGUGAGUAACGCGUGGGAAUCUACCCAUCUCUACGGAAUAACGCAUGGAAACGUGUGCUAAUACCGUAUACGUCCUUCGGGAGAAAGAUUUAUCGGAGAUGGAUGAGCCCGCGUUGGAUUAGCUAGUUGGUGGGGUAAAGGCCUACCAAGGCGACGAUCCAUAGCUGGUCUGAGAGGAUGAUCAGCCACACUGGGACUGAGACACGGCCCAGACUCCUACGGGAGGCAGCAGUGGGGAAUAUCGGACAAUGGGCGCAAGCCUGAUCCAGCCAUGCCGCGUGAGUGAUGAAGGCCCUAGGGUUGUAAAGCUCUUUCACCGGUGAAGACAAUGACGGUAACCGGAGAAGAAGCCCCGGCUAACUUCGUGCCAGCAGCCGCCGCAGUAA
rnacentral:rRNA from 1 species